CAGCCGUAAACAAUGUGCGUUAGGUGUGUCGGUAACCACGUGUUACUGAUGCGCCGAAGAGAAAUCGUGAAACGCACCACCUGGGAAGUACGGUCGCAAGGCUGAAACUUAAAGGAAUUGGCGGGGGAGCACCACAACAGGUGGAGCCUGCGGUUUAAUUGGAACUCAACGCCGGAAAUCUCACCGGAUAGGACAGACAUAUGAUAGUCGGGCUGAAGACUCUACUUGAUGAUCUGAGAGGAGGUGCAUGGCGUCAGUGACU
rnacentral:rRNA from 1 species